UACAGAGGGGGCAAGCGUUAUUCGGAAUUAUUGGGCGUAAAGGGCGCGUAGGCGGCUUGGCAAGUGGAUGGUGAAAUCCCUCGGCUUAACCGAGGAACUGCCGUCCAAACUGCUUUGCUUGAGGCCGGGAGAGGCGAGUGGAAUUCCCAGUGUAGCGGUGAAAUGCGCAGAUAUCAGGAGGAACACCGAUGGCGAAGGCAGGUCUCUGGGCCACUACUGACGCUGAGAAGCGAAAGCAUGGGGAGCGAACAGG
rnacentral:rRNA from 1 species